rnacentral:rRNA from 1 species
UACGGAGGGUGCAAGCGUUAUCCGGAUUCACUGGGUUUAAAGGGUGCGUAGGUGGGUUGGUAAGUCAGUGGUGAAAUCUCCGAGCUUAACUUGGAAACUGCCAUUGAUACUAUCAGUCUUGAAUACCGUGGAGGUCAGCGGAAUAUGUCAUGUAGCGGUGAAAUGCUUAGAUAUGACAUAGAACACCAAUUGCGAAGGCAGCUGACUACGCGAAUAUUGACACUGAUGCACGAAAGCGUGGGGAUCAAACAGGG